CUCUAUCUGACAUCAGAUGAACGUUCAGAUGGCUGUGACAGUCUCUCAAGACGAAGUGUCCUAAACUAAGGUAACCACACUGCUGUGUUCUGCGCGCGCAGACUGAGCUAUGCGCAGAAUGAUAUGCGCAGGUACCUGAACGAGGCGGUAGAGCGCCCGUACCUCCCCCACGGAAUGUCUCCAGCGACGGGGAGACUUGCAGAAGGAGGGGUGCGGAAAGAGUGAUGACAGACAGUUUCAUGAAAUCCCACAGCACUUCUACACAAGCAUACAAGAGGGGGCUGAAUCAGUCUGACAUGUGCAUCUGAUCCCAUCUUGAUCGCUCCCAUCUUGAUAGCUUCCGUUCACCUUUAAAGGCACAAUUUCACAUAUAUUCGACAAUAUUUUGGCCUAUAUUAUAUAUAUUUGGGCAUAUGCACUCACUUUGGCUUUCUAUUGUUGCAAUAAAAGACUUUGUAUCCCUUACAA